rnacentral:rRNA from 1 species
GACGAACCGUGCGAACGUUGUUCGGAAUCACUGGGCUUAAAGGGCGCGUAGGCGGUCCACCACGUCCGGGGUGAAAGCGUUCGGCUUAACCGAACCAGGGCCUGGGAAACGGGUGGGCUGGAGAGAGGGAGGGGCCCGCGGAACUUCCGGUGGAGCGGUGAAAUGCGUUGAGAUCGGAAGGAACGCCGGUGGCGAAAGCGGCGGGCUGGACCUCUACUGACGCUGAGGCGCGAAAGCCAGGGGAG